UAGUAACUGCCACCGGGUAGUAUGCGGAGCAUUCGCAGGUAUAUCGUUAGGUCUUUGAAGAUAUAUCAGCGGAUGCUAUUUGUUU
rnacentral:ncRNA from 1 species